AUACGUAGGUGGCGAGCGUUGUCCGGAAUUACUGGGCGUAAAGGGCGCGUAGGCGGUCUAUCAAGUCAGGUGUGAAACCCCAAGGCUUAACCUUGGGCUUGCACAUGAAACUGAUGGGCUCGAGUGUCGGAGAGGAAAGCGGAAUUCCUAGUGUAGCGGUGAAAUGCGUAGAUAUUAGGAGGAACACCAGUGGCGAAGGCGGCUUUCUGGACGAUAACUGACGCUGAUGCGCGAAAGCGUGGGGAGCAAACAGGAUUAGAUACCCUGGUAGUCCACGCUGUAAACGAUGGAUACUAGGUGUGGGAGGUAUCGAACCCUUCCGUGCCGGAGUAAACGCAUUAAGUAUCCCGCCUGGGGAGUACGGUUGCAAGGCUGAA
rnacentral:rRNA from 1 species